UUGAAGAGUAGUGCUGCUGUGGGAGAGAUCACUAGAAAGUUCUCCACGAACGAGAACACUUUCACAGUGGGGGGCCAAUAUGCUGUUGAUAUCUACACUGUAGUGAAAGCUAAGCUCAACAAUCACGGAAAGCUAGGAGCCCUCCUGCAGCAUGAAGUCAUACCGAAGUCAGUGCUGACAAUAUCUGGUGAGGUAGACACCAAGGCCUUGGACAAAAAUCCCAGGUUUGGCGUGGCCAUUGCCCUCAAGCCUUGAUUCUUUGGUGUUAAUGAAUUCAAUACCUGGCUCAAUUUUUUGAUUGGCUCUUGAGAGGAGCGCUUAAUAAUUAGUUCCACAGAAACAUUUGUCCUAGUCCGUGAUGACUGUGGAUGGAUCGUUUGGCGCUUGGGCCUCUAUUGCGUGGUCGGGGCCUCUUCUUUUCCUCUAUAUUCUU
rnacentral:lncRNA from 1 species